GUAUUCCUCUACAAAUAAGAUCGUACUCGAUGAGAGAAUAUCAGUCCACUACAGUCUGUCUGUUUUUUGAAUAUUACCCUGGUUGACAGGACUACUGAUUUUCUUUGCUGGCAAGAGACUUCUGCUUGUGAUUUUACUUCCUCUUGAUAUCCUUGUUAAUUUGACUAAAGCUGUCAGAUUUGUUCACUUUCAGUAUACACAUUCAUGUCAGCAAUUUCUUCAUCAAACUUAUCAUCCCAAGAUCUUCUAGCACAUCUUUUUCUUUGCUUCAGUUCUAACUCUCAUUGCUCCAAGACAGGGGACUUCAUGUAGUCUUCAGUAUUAAACCUAGAGCAUGCUUUGUGACAUUAUCAAUGUUUCAGUAUUUGAUGAUUCCUUAUUUUAUUCUUUGUAAAGAGCUCAAUCUCUUCCUCAGUGCUCUACAGACUCCUACAGUGUCAGGAUUUUCCCUGUGAAAAAUAGUUAGGAGAGUCAGUUGAGUUUCUUUCAAAUUUACUAAUAAAUUGUAUGCAUUAUACAGAAGAAAUUUCUAUAUCAAUUUUAAAAAUUUUGUGGACUGUUUUGGUUUAGCCCCAGCAGACAGCUAACCCCUACACUCACUCACUCCCUCACUCACUCACUCCUCCACAAUGAGAUAGGGAAGAGAAUCAGAAAUUUGCAAGAGGGUAAAUCACAGGUUGACACAAAGAUGUUUCAUUUUUUAUCUGAUAAAAACAGAAAACAAUAGUGUUAAUUUCCAAUUUAUGGUACAAUAAUAUACAUACAAAGAAUCGUCUCAUAUCACUCUACUUAAUAAGUAAUUGCAUAGAAAAAUAUCACCUGAAUUAUUAUUUUACACACUCAUUCUCAUCCUUGUCUCCUUCAAUGAUAUUAAGUACAAUAUAUCAUGAUGCUGAAAUGAUUUUGAAAAAAAAUAUACAUAUAUAUUUCUAUUUUUUAAACCUAUUAGGAAAAUCAAAAUCUCAGGUAAGUACUGCUGAGAAAGAGAUAACAGAUAUUUUUUUGUAAGGG